UACGGGGGGUGCGAGCGUUGUUCGGAUUCACUGGGCGUAAAGGGUGCGUAGGUGGUUGGGUAAGUCUGAUGUGAAAUCUCCGAGCUUAACUCGGAAAUGGCAUUGGAUACUAUUCGGCUAGAGGGUUUGAGGGGGGACUGGAAUACUUGGUGUAGCAGUGAAAUGCGUAGAUAUCAAGUGGAACACCAGUGGCGAAGGCGAGUCCCUGGAAAACUCCUGACACUGAGGCACGAAAGCUAGGGGAGCGAACAGG
rnacentral:rRNA from 1 species